CCGAAGAGUCUCAAUCAACUAGAACUCUUUCUAAUUGAUUUUUGAAUUAAACUCUUUUAAUUUUAAUAAGUUCACAAGUCAAGAUUAACAUUUAAUAAUAUAUCAUAACUUUCUAAAAGAUUUAAAAUUUUGAUAAAAAAUUAUCAAAAUAUCCUUUAGUGAUAAGUUACCAUGUAAUUCAAUCCUUCAGUCAAGCAACAUCCC
rnacentral:lncRNA from 1 species